rnacentral:rRNA from 1 species
CUACGGGAGGCAGCAGUGGGGAAUAUUGGACAAUGGGGGAAACCCUGAUCCAGCAAUGCCGCGUGUGUGAAGAAGGCCUGCGGGUUGUAAAGCACUUUCGGUUGGGAGGACUGCUUCUAGCACUAAUAUUGUUGGAAGUUGACGUUACCUUCAGAAGAAGCACCGGCUAACUCCGUGCCAGCAGCCGCAGUAAUACGGAGGGUGCAAGCGUUAAUCGGAAUUACUGGGCGUAAAGCGCGCGUAGGCGGCUAGAUCAGUCGGGUGUGAAAGCCCCGGGCUUAACCUGGGAACUGCAUCCGAUACUGUCUAGCUUGAGUACAGGAGAGGAGAGUGGAAAUCCACAUGUAGCGGUGAAAUGCGUAGAUAUGUGGAGGAACACCAAUGGCGAAGGCAGCUCUCUGGCCUGAUACUGACGCUGAGGUGCGAAAGCGUGGGGAGCAAACAGGAUUAGAUACCCUUGUAGUC